rnacentral:rRNA from 1 species
AUUCCAGCUCCAAUAGCGUAUAUUAAAGUUGUUGCAGUUAAAAAGCUCGUAGUUGGAUGUUGGGUUCUAGUUAUGUUCGGUCUCUUCUAGAGUACUGUCAUGCUGGCCCUUUUUCUCGAGGCCUAUAGGUGCACUUAACCGUGUGUUUAUAGUGUUCGGGACUUUUACCGUGAGAAAAUUAGAGUGUUCAUAGCAGGCUAGUGCUUGAAUAUUACAGCAUGGAAUAAUGGAAUAGGAUCAUGAUCUUAUUUUGUUGGUUUCUAAGAUUAAGAUAAUGAUUAAUAGGGAUAGUUGGGGGCAUUAAUAUUUAGUUGUCAGAGGUGAAAUUCUUAGAUUUACAAAAGAUUAACUUCUGCGAAAGCAUUUGCCAAGGAUGUUUUCAUCG